rnacentral:ncRNA from 1 species
AUUUUUUUUUCAAAAAUAUUAUGACCCUUUAUAGUAUAUUGAGUUAAGUUACCCCGGGGAUAACAGUGUAAUAAUUAAUUAGAGUUCAUAUCGAAUUAGUUGGUUGCCACCUCGAUGUUGACUUAGGUAAAUAUAAUGGGCGCAGUUGUUUGUUAUUUAGGUCUGUUCGACCUGUAUUACCUCCAUGAGUUGAGUUAAGACCGGCGUGAGCCAGGUCGGUUCUUAUCUAUUUGUGU